rnacentral:rRNA from 1 species
AUGCAGCCUGGAGCUUAUCCUGGUGCAGUAUGGCCAGCAACCUUAUGGCAGAGCAGCCCCCCUGGCACUGGCUAUGACUUCUAUAACCAACAGCAGCAACCCCAACAGCAACAGUAUGCCACUGGAACUGUUGCACCUGCUGAUGCUAGCAGCGACGAUUACAGUCUGUCUGCUACUCAUGCUUCACAAGGUUAUGGUGAUUCUACGUACUCUCAGCAGAGUAGCGGGCAGCAAGCUUAUGAUUACUCUGGUUAUCAGACCCAAGGGAUGUCUUACUCGCAGCAGCCUGGAUAUGAUCAGCAGAACUACGGGGCAUGGCUAUGGGGCAUCAGCUGCUAA